GCGCCCGUAGCUCAGCGGAUUAGAGCACCAGUCUUCGGAACUGGGUGUCACAGGUUCAAAUCCUGUCGGGCGCACCA
rnacentral:tRNA from 1 species